rnacentral:rRNA from 1 species
GACAGAGGAUGCAAGCGUUAUCCGGAAUGAUUGGGCGUAAAGCGUCUGUAGGUGGCUUUUUAAGUCCGCCGUCAAAUCCCAGGGCUCAACCCUGGACAGGCGGUGGAAACUACCAAGCUGGAGUACGGUAGGGGCAGAGGGAAUUUCCGGUGGAGCGGUGAAAUGCGUAGAGAUCGGAAAGAACACCAGUGGCGAAGGCGACUAACUGGACAAGUACG